GACGAACGCUGGCGGCGUGCUUAACACAUGCAAGUCGAACGAAGUGGCGAACGGGUGAGUAACGCGUAAUCAACCUGCCCACCAGGGGGGGACAACAGUUGGAAACGACUGCUAAUACCGCAUACUGAAGGAGGGGAUUGCGUCUGAUUAGCUAGUUGGAGGGGGAACGGCCCACCAAGGCGAUGAUCAGUAGCCGGUCUUAGAGGGGGAACGGCCACAUUGGGACUGGGACACGGCCCAAACUCCUACGGGGAGCAGCAGUGGGGAAUCUUCCGCAAUGGACGAAAGUCUGGCGGAGCAACGCCGCGUUAGUGAUGACGGCCUUCGGGUUGUAAAGCUCUGUUAAUCGGGACGCGGUACCGGAAUAGAAAGCCACGGCUAACUACGUGCCAGCAGCCGCGGUAAUAC
rnacentral:rRNA from 1 species